rnacentral:rRNA from 1 species
GACGUAGGGCGCGAGCGUUGUCCGGAUUUAUUGGGCGUAAAGAGCUCGUAGGCGGCUUGUCGCGUCGACUGUGAAAACCCGAGGCUCAACUUCGGGCUUGCAGUCGAUACGGGCAGGCUAGAGUUCGGUAGGGGAGACUGGAAUUCCUGGUGUAGCGGUGAAAUGCGCAGAUAUCAGGAGGAACACCGAUGGCGAAGGCAGGUCUCUGGGCCGAUACUGUCGCUGAGGAGCGAAAGCGUGGGGAGCGAACAGG